UGGCAGAGAACCAAGACGAUAAACAUAAAACUGAUAUCCAAGAGGAUAAACACAAAACUGAUCUUCUGUCCAUACAGUGACACCUUAGAGACUCCAAGAAAGAUCCAGUCAAAUUCACAUACAUUCAGGUUUACCCUAUCUUUCCAGGACUUUCAGUGGCAUUCAUUUCUUAAAAGUGUCUUGCCCAGUUAUGCCAAGAUAUUUGCUUAAAAGAGCUGAUGUGCAUAUUCCCAGGACUCCAAACUGUGAGCAUAAGUGAUAAAGGCUUUCUGGAGUCGUAUCAGGACACCUCAGUCACAGUCUAUGUUGGAUAUGAAAAAAAAAGAAAGACAAGGUGGAAGUCAGAUGGAGCCUCAGCAUCCAGCCUCAAUAAACCUCACCUGAAUAAACCUCACAGCCAUAAUCCAGCUGUAAAUAUGACCGGGCAAAAAUAGUAGGUGCAGAUGCUGCUGUGUACAUGUUAUGAUCCAGACUCCAAACAGGGCAUGGCAUGAAGACAGGUUAUCUUCUGCAGAAGGAGCUGGGUGCAGCUGUCACUGGAGCAUCAGAGGACAUAAAUUCACCUGGAAUUAGUCUUUUGGGCCAAAAUAAAUUGUUAUUCAUAUUUGGCUGUCCAAAAAAGACCAAGAAAUAUUUGAAGCAUGCUGGACCUUUAUCCUACAAGAGUUCAAUCUGCAGUCAUAACACAACGUGCAACAAGUUUGUCCACAAUUUACAGGAAUUACCUUUCCACUUAUUGGAAACAGAAAAAAAAAAAAAAAAAAAAAAAAGGAAGAUUUCCAUACCUUAAGUCUUCAAGAUUAGUUUUGACUCUCACUGAGACUUAUCAGGGAUAGACUCUCUACCCUACUGGAAUCAAUGGAAUUAUGUAUAAAUUGUACAGCGUCGUGUCCGUGAACUUCCAGAGUUCGCAUUAAAAACUGACAGAACAUCAGAGUGCCAGAAGCUUCUCAUAUUGUGGCUCUGGAGGACUCACCAUUUGGGACUCCGGUAGGAUCCUUGAGGAAUUAUUGCUCCAGGAGUAAUAUUUUGUGCUGUGACCAUAGGUGGUAAGCAAUGCCUGCAGGAACACAGGCACUCUGCAGCUCCAUCUGUUUUUGCAAAUGUGUCUCAUUUCUUCAUGUAACUGGGCGUCUGCUGAAAAUGAGUGACAACUAGGAUGGUAAGAAAAGAGGACUCAAAAAUUGGAAACAUAAACGUACGAAGUUUGCAAAUCAUUUGGGUAAGGAGGGGCUGACUGUCUGUUAGCGUACUUUUCACAUUUACAAAAAGUCUAUUUACGUAGCUGCUGCCUUCAGGUGCCCCUGGCUUUCACUGCCUUGCCACAGAGGAUGUGGGGGUGUCACAAAAUGCAUUUCUGCAUCCUGUACUCUCGGUGAGGUGCUGAGUGUCACUGUUCUCAUGCACAGGGCCCAGGAGUGCAGUGUGGGCAAGAGGCUCGGCGCAGAGUCCUGUUCUGAGUGGGGUUGUAUAAAGGCUGCCAAAGGAAGUGGAGGGCUACCAAAAGGCUUCUGCUGUGAGGGCUAUUUCAUGGGAGACUUAGCUGGGGUUGGUGUUGAGUUAGGGUCAUAACAAUACUGGCACUGGUAUGCCAGUAGCAACUCUAGAGAUCCCUGGAGAGUCCUGCAAGGCUUCGAGUGGUGCUAGAGUACACUGGGAGGCCCUGCGAGGCCUAGAAAUGUCACUAGAGCACACUGGAGAGCCACACACUCUAGUGUCCCCUGUAUGCCUCCCAGGGCCUCACAGUGACUUCUACCACUUCCAAAUGCCUCCUAACCCCUCCCAGUUUGUUCUAGAAUGUGCUAGAGAUGUCCCAGGGACCUCAGUGCACUCAAGGGAGCACUAGAGGCCUCUCCAUGCACCCGAGUCUUCCUGGGCCUCCCAGUGUAAUCUAAUGUCCCUGGGAGACCUUACAGAGCUCUUUGGUGAGCUCUUGCACCGUCUUGAAUCUUUCCAGGGCACUCUAGAGGCCUUCCAUGGUCCCCAGUGCCCUCUAGUAUCCCCAGCAGGCUUUCCAGAACCCCCACCGCAUUCUAGAGAGCAGUAGAGGCCGAGGCCUCCCAGUGCAACCAAGAGUCAUCCAGGGCCUUCCAGUGGAGUCCAGCACACUCUAAAAGACUCCCAGUGCCCCCAAGUGUGCUCUAAGCACCUCAUGGAGACACAGCAGGGCUCUCCAGUGCACUCUAAGACACACUAGACACCCCCUGGGGCCCCCUGAAGAGCUCUAGCACCAGCUAGAGGCCUCACAGGGCUCUCCGCUGUCCUUUAGGGUGCUGUAAAUGCCUCACAUUUCACGAGAGGCCUUCAGUGGCCUUCCGAUCCACUCUAGAUCCUCUGAAGAUCCAGCGGGACCACCAAGUGCACUCUAGCUCCCCCCAAAUACCUCCCAGUGCCCCUCAGUGUGUCCUUUAGGAUGCCCUAGUAUCCUCCCAGGCCUCCUGUGGUGCUCCAGUGCUAUCUAGAACCUUCUGAAGGCCUCAGAGGGACUUGCACUGUCCUCUAGCACCACCUGAAGGCCUUGCUGGACUCUCUAUUGCUAUCUACAGUACCCUACAGGCAUCCCAGUACCCCUGUUUUGCUCUAAUGACCCCCCGAGGCCUCCUAACACUCCCGGUGAGUUCUAGUGUUCCCUGGAUGCCUCACAGGGCCUGUAAAUGUGCACUAUCACUUCCCCAAUGCUUCCCAGGCACCCCCACAGGUAGCUCUAGGAUGUCUGUUUGGCCUCCCAGGACUCCCCACAGCAUUCUAGAGAGCACUAGAGGCCUCCCAGUGUGUCCUAGAGGCUUUGAGGGCCUCUCAGUGUAGUAUAGCACCUCCUGGAAGGCUCCCAGGGCACACUGGUGCUUUCUAAUGCCCUUCGGAGACCUUGCAGUGCUCUCCAGUGUGCUUUAGCCUGACCUAGAAGCCUGCAAGGCCCUACCAUGCCUUCAGAAGGUACCGCAUAGUAUGCUCUAGCAUCCCCUAGAAGCCUCCCAGGGCUCUCUAGAGGCUGCCCAGAGCUCCCCAGUGCACUCUCAGGCACACUAGGGGCCUCAAAGUGCAGCCUAGACACCUCCCAGUGCUUCCCACUGAACUCUGGAGACCUAGGGGCCUCCCAGUGCACCCUACAAGGCCUCCCACUGCACCCUAGAGGCCUCAGGGCCCUCCAGUGCAUUCUAGGGUACCCUAGCAGCCUUCUCCUGCACCCUACGGGCCUCCUAGGGACACACACUGUAAACUGGUGCCUCCUAGAGGCCUUGCUAGGCUCUCUAGUGUGCUCUAGAGUACACUCAAUGUCUCCCUGGGCCAUGCAGAGGCCUUGUAAGUCUCUCCAGUGUCCUCUAGGGUGCACUAAAGGCUUUCCAGUGCUCGCUACACAGCUUCCAUGAAUUCACUCCGCUGUAGAGCCUGUGCACUCUACCUCCCCCUGAAAGUUUUCCAGCGCCCUCUACCACUUCCAAAUGCCUCCCUCCUCCCUCCCCCACUCUCACCCCCCAGCCUCAGUUUGCUUUAGGAUGCUUUAGGAUACUCCAGGAGGCCUACCAGGGACCCCACCGCACUCUAAAGAGCACAAGAAGCCACGCAGUACACCCUAGAGAUUCCCAGGGCCUGCCAGUAUAAUCUAGUGCCCCCGGGAGACUUUGCAGGGCUCUCUAUCGAGCUCUAGCACCCCCUAGAAAAAUUGU